ACGCGACUGCUCGGAAGAGCCGCCCCACGUGCUUUCGGGGAAACAGCCCGGGAGCGAGAAAGAGUAGGAUUGAGGGGAAAUCGAAAACAGUCGGAGGCUGAGAGAGCAGCACGCAGGCGCGGCUUGGGGCUUUCCAGCUGCCCGCACGCCAUCCUCCUCUCCGCGUGGCUCCAUCCCAGCGCGCGCGGUCGCGGGGGACCCCCUACCUGCCGGCGCGACCGCGUCCUGCUGGCUAGAGUGCUGCCCUUGCGCAAGACAAAGGGCAGGGGCGGGAUCUCAAUGUUGAAAUAUGAUCUGAAUGUUUGGGUCAUGGUGGUGGAUCUCUCACAAAUAGACUAAUACCCGUUGGACAGAGGGCAGUACUCCAGCCCCAUUGAUUCUCACACCGCCUUUGCUUCGUUGGACAUGCCCGUGACCCACAAUGGAAAAGAAAGGGAACAUACUGCAGUUUCAAUUGUUGUGGGACUCAGGUUUUCUCUCAGCACUGC